UGGGGAAUAUUGCACAAUGGAGGGAACUCUGAUGCAGCGACGCCGCGUGAGUGAUGAAGGAAUUCGUUUCUUAAAACUCUGUUCUAUGGGAAGAAAAGGACUGUACCAUAGGAGAAAGCUCCGGCUAAAUACGUGCCAGCAGCCGCGGUAAUACGUAUGGAGCGAGCGUUGUCCGGAAUUAUUGGGCGUAAAGGGUGCGCAGGCGGCUUUACAAGUUGGAUGUGAAAUAUUGUGGCUCAACCACAAACGUGCAUCCAAAACUGCAAAGCAUGAGUUAAGGAGAGGUAAGUGGAAUUCCUGGUGUAGCGGUGGAAUGCGUAGAUAUCAGGAGGAAUACCGGUGGCGAAGGCGACUUACUGGACUUAAACUGACGCUAAGGCACGAAAGCGUGGGGAGCAAACAGG
rnacentral:rRNA from 1 species